UAAAGAUGAUUUAAAAAUAUAU
rnacentral:snRNA from 1 species